UGUAGUGUGUUCCACAUUGAGCUCGGGUUUCGUCAGCAGCGGGCUGUGAUGACUAAAAAACAAGUUCGUUGUCGACGAAACCUGCAUACUGUGUGGAGAGUCAACGAG
rnacentral:pre_miRNA from 13 species